ensembl:ncRNA Y65D7A.1 ncRNA
GUUCAAGCACAAAAUUCAUCAGUUCUAGAUCAUAUUUUCACUAGUUCAAAGUAUCCAGCCCACUUUGGAAAGGUAUAGUGGGAGUUGAAAAUGAGUCUAGUCUAUGUUUCUCGCAAAAACCGUGAUCCAAUUGUAGCCAGUUUUGUGUAAAACUUCUGAGCUUGAUAUAUACCUGUGCAUCGUUUGUCUACCAUGACUCCUUGAGAAGUUGUCUGUUUUUAGGAAAAACCUUAAAGAAUCUUAAAAAUUUUUUCAGGGCUCUGCACUUGAAAG